UCAUGUGGCCUUUAGUAAGAAGCGUCCACUCUCAUUGUGUUUUAUUUACCAGCUUGCUUUUAAAGAGCCAGGACCAGUCCACUAGCUGUGCAGAGUGCUGACCUCUUGGAUGAGAGCCCUGACCUCAUAGGAUAUCUGAGCUUGUCAUAAUUCAGGUGGGUUCUGUAGGGAAGCAGGGGCUCGUGGGGAGUGGGAGGAAGCUGGGGAGAAGAUGAGUUGAGAGCAGUCCAGUGUGAGGGAAAGUGGGGAUCCUGGGCCAACUUACCAUUAAGAGGGUCCAGUCCUGUGACUGCUGUGAAGUAACCAGGAUUCCACAUAGAGAUGGGGCUCAAAGUCAGCCCAGGAGCAGCACUGUGGUCCCAGAACUAAUAUUUGGCGACUCCAAGGCCAGGGAUAAAAAUGAAGAGAUGGAGAGACAAGAUUUCCUGGCCUCUAAUUGGCAGCACCCGUUGACUCUGCUCGUGACCAGACUCAUGAACGCUUCAUCCAAGGUUUCAUGUCAUCCGUGUGAGGAACCUCUCUGAUUUGAGAAAAUCUUUCUUAAAAUGGGCUUCUAGUUGUAAAGCCAUUGUCUUUUUAGGAAAUCAUCAAAUACCUUAAAGCUAGACACGCAAUCAGCUGCAUAAAUGACACACUCACUAAAUCAAUCCUUUAUCAGGUGAUCCUGAUGCUCAUGGCCAUGCAUUGAGAACAACUGUGUAAGAAGAUAUGGAUAAUGCUUGAAAACUACUAGUAUUAGCACCAUUUUGCAUAUACUCCAAGGAAGAUCUCAAUAAAUGCUUAAUGGAAAUAAGUAAAGGUAUGAAUGCUGGACCUAAUACAGGAGGAAGACCCAGGUGAUUUGUGUACAAUUUGGACACAAGCUCUUGCCAACCACCUGAGAGAUUCCAACAAUGAGAUGAGAUUCCUUACCUUGAACCAGAUAAUUUGGAAUGAAUGUCUAGGCAGAACUUCUGCUUCAGAAUGACCACAAUUAACUACCAGACAACCAACUUUGGGGACAUAUCAGUAGGUGCAGAGCAUUUAGAACUGGAAGGACCAUUUGAAAUACAUAGUUCAUCUCUCUCAUGUUACUGAGGAGGAAAACUGAAGUGCACGGAGGUAAAGUAACUCGCCCAGUAUCACAAUUUGUGUUUGUACCAUUGCUGAGGUGAGCACCUGGGCCUUCUAACCCCAAAUUAAAUUAUUCUCCUAUGUGACAACCUCCUUUAAUGGUUUUUUCUCAUUUAUAUUUAAAAUUUUUAAAGUACCCAAGUAAUAAUACACGUUCAUGGUAGAAAAAGAAAAAAAAUUAGCAAAAUGAGGAAAAUAAAAAUCAGUUUUAAUCCCACCUUCAGAUGCAACUAUUCUCUGUUUUGUAUUUCCUUUCUAGAUAAUAACUAUAACGGAUCAUUAUUAUGAAAUGCUUACUCUGUGCUAGUUAUUAUGGAGUGCUUCUUACAAAAUGCUAGGCAUUUUGUAAACACUCUUCAUGUGUGGAUGCUUUAAUCUUCUGCACAACCCUAUGAUGUAGAUUAUCACCAUCAGUGAUAGGCAGUGUGGCAGGCAGAAUGACAGCCUCCCUGAAAUGUCCACAUACUAAUCCCAGGAACCUGUGAAUGCGUUAUGUUACAUGGCAAAGGAGAAUUAAGAUAGCAGACAAAAUUAAGGUUGGUAAUUGGCUGAUCCUGAAAUAGCAAGAAUAUCCUAGAUUACCCAGGUAGGCCCAACGCAAUCAGAAAGGAAGAGGGAGACACAAGAGGCGGCAUGAGAGUGAUGCGAUGUGAGAAUGAUUCAACCAGCCUUUGCUGGCUUUGAAGGUGGAGGAGGAGGCCAGAGCCAAGGAAUGCGGGAAACCUUUAGAAACUGAAAAACCAAAAAAUGGAUUUCUCCUUUUGGUACUCCAGAAAGGAAUGCACCCCUGCUGACACCUUGACUUUAGCCCAACAUGGUAGACAGAACAAUGGCCCCAAAAUAUCCACAUUCCAAUCCCUGGAAUGUGUGACUGUGUUACCUUACAUGUCAAAAGGAAGUUUACAGAUGUGAUUAAGACUUUUGAGAAGGGGAGAUUAUCUUGGAUUAUCUAGGUGGGCCCAAUGUAAUCAUAAGGAUCUUUAAAAGAAGCAGGCAGGAGGAUGAGAGUCAGAGAGAAGAUGUGAUGACAAAAGCAGGGAAUGGAGUGCUGUGCUUUUAAGACAGAGGAAGGGGCCAAAAGCCAAGGAACACAAGAGGCCUCUAAAAGAGGUAAGGAAACAGAAUCUUCCCUUGAGUCUCUGGAAGAGUAUGGCCCUGUUGACACCUUGAUUUUGGCCCAGCAAAACCUAUUUUGGACUGACCACCAGAACCGUAAGAUAAUAAAUGCAUGUUAUUUUAAGCCACUAAGUUUGUGGGAAUUUCUUACAGCAGCAAUAGGAAACUGGUACACCUAGUUUACAACUUGCUAGGGCCACAGAGUUGGCCAGUGGCAGAGACAGGAUGUGGUUUCAAGCCAUCUGGCUUCAGAGCCCAUAUCUGUUACCAUUAUGACAUAAACAUACAUGGACACAUAGAGAUUUAAAUAGUACAUACAUCUCAAUGAAUGCAAACCUUCCAUAAUAUUUUGAUAGUCAUUCAGCACCACCAUAUUAAAUAGUUGUAGUCCACUCAAUAAAUAUACCACUCCCCAUAUUUUAUAUAAUAAAUCCCUUAUUAUUCAAUACAUACGUUGUUUCUAAUGUUUCAAUAUUGUACUACUGGCAAUGAUAAACAUCUUUCUAGUGCUAUUAAUUAUUUCAUUAGGAAAAACUCUUAAAAUUAGAAACGCCAGGUCAAGUUACCCCUAAGAAAGACUGCAUUGGAAUAUAACGGAAAAUAAAACAUGCAACUGGAAGUCGGAGCAUCUCUGCCUUCUUUUUCUGUAACACCUUUGGUAUUAAGCUAUUUUUCUUAUCCAUGGUACACACUCAAUCGUAUUUUUGUUUUUGAAGGUUUUAGCUAUAACACUAUUUCUUCUGUAGACUCAUAGGUGUUAGAGCAAGAAGGUAUUUAGAGGUGAUUUAGUCUAAUCCUUUAAAUCACAGGUAAAUUCCCUGAGGCCCAGAGUGGUGAACUGACUCACUAAAAGCUCUCCUUACAGGGGUGCUUGGUGAGAACGCACCUUCCUGACUCCAAGGCCAGCUAUCUUUCCACAUCUGCUGCAAAUGUCAUGAGGCUAGCCCCCAAGUUGGGACCAUUAUUAAUUUUUCCCCUCAAGUCAUGCGAAACAUCUCUUGUCCUUUUAAUCAGAAGCAUAUUUUAGGGGCUGCGGAAUAAUAAGCACCCACAUAUCCAGUAUUAAAAGAUAAACUCUGGCCCUUUCCUGGAGUGAGCCUGUUUUCAUUUUAUCAUUGUGAAAUGUGGUAGGAUUGAUGGCAGACAAUAACUCCCCACCUCCCCCAGUAUUUUAUUAAGAUCCGUUCUUACAAAGGAUAACCGGAGGUUUUCCAUCAUCACCUCGUUGUCUUUUUUCUAACUUGGUUCGUCUGCUACCCAACAGUAGUAAGGUUACCUCAUCCUGGAAUCUGAUGUACACAACGGUAUGCAAACUCUUUCCUUCUCUCCGAAGCAAACAAUGAAAUGGGAAAACACUGCCAUUUUCUGACUGACCUCAAUCGCUGAGGGUGGACCCCGCACGUUACAUCAGCAG
rnacentral:lncRNA from 1 species